AUUGAACGCUGGCGGCAUGCCUAACACAUGCAAGUCGAACGGCAACGCGGGGAGCUUGCUCCCUGGCGGCGAGUGGCGGACGGGUGCGUAACGCGUAGGAAUCUGCCCACUAGUGGGGGACAACCCGGGGAAACCCGGGCUAGUACCGCAUAUGCCCUACGGGGGAAAGCGGGGGACCUUCGGGCCUCGCGCUGGUGGAUGAGCCUGCGUCGGAUUAGCUAGUUGGUGAGGUAAAGGCCCACCAAGGCGACGAUCCGUAGCUGGUCUGAGAGGACGACCAGCCACACUGGGACUGAGACACGGCCCAGACUCCUACGGGAGGCAGCAGUGGGGAAUAUUGGACAAUGGGGGAAACCCUGAUCCAGCAAUGCCGCGUGGGUGAAGAAGGCUUUCGGGUUGUAAAGCCCUUUCAGUAGGGAAGAAGAUACAGAGCGCUAAUACCGUUCUGUAGAUGACGUUACCUACAGAAGAAGCACCGGCUAACUCCGUGCCAGCAGCCGCCGUAAGAC
rnacentral:rRNA from 1 species